GCCCUCACCCCCACAGCCGCCACAACCGGCGACUUUUCCUCUCACCGCCGCCCCCUCUCAUCCCCUCCUCUCAUGGCAGAUCGAGCGACAACCGCGGUGUGGGCGGGCGGCACUAACACGCUGCUCUCGGCCGAGGAGCCGCUCCCGCCGGGCCAACCGCACCCGUCCGUCGCCUGCUCGCCUCCCGCGGCGUCUUCUCCGAGCACACAGACGACGGAGGUCGGAGGCGGUACGCGCUUGUGCUGGCGUGGCCGUGGCUCCACAAGGACGUGCUCGACCCCGCCGGCGCCUAGCCCUUUUCAUGCGCACGCCGGCGUCCCCGCCUACGCCUACUACAGCCAGGACCGGGAGGCGAACGAGGUGAUGCUCGACGAUGAACAUCUGCUCGAGGACAUCCUACUCGACGAUGCUCCUCUUCGCCAGCAUCUCCAACGCGUGGAGGAUUUUCUAGAUCAACUCCCCGCAUAGACCCGCGUCGAGGGAGGAGGAAGCAGAGGCUGGCAACAAGGAGCGGGUGUGGGUGCUCAUCCUCGCCGCUGACCACAAGUGCCGUGAGAAACUUUGGGCAGAAUUUGCUGCCUCCACUGGGCUACUCGUUGUCACCUCAUUCAUCUACGCUUGGUGGUUUAGUGUCCUCUUUCGUUAAACUCUUAAUAUUCCAGAAUCCACUGUUAGAUUACUUGGAGCCGACAACGAAGCAUCAUGAUGGUCUCCAACCUGUAGCGAUCUUGAUCCAUCUGUAGAGUUAUAACCAGGAUGAAAAUAAGACCAAUGAUACAUAGGCGACAAACUAUGCAGGCAACAUUCUCUCCAAUCUUCAUACAAUCUUAUACCUGGAACCGUCGUGUAAGUAUCGUCAAAAUUUUCAGCUACGGGUAUGAUGCUUGCAUUAUAUUCUUCAUCAUUUCCCCCGCUCGUAAGGCCUGCAAUACAUUAUGCAUAAAGCUUGUCACUGCCAGAAAUGAACCGAACGCAUGUGUAGGAAUUUAUGAUAGAGUGCAUCAUACCCGUAGUAACGUCCUCUUUUGGUUGAUGUUCACCUGCCUUGCUUUUCGAAUUCCCCAUACGCACCUAUGGAAUGGCAGUUCACUGACAUUAAAUGACCAUUGCCUGAUGGCAAGAAUAUUUGAAAUAGCGGGGGUGGGAGUAGCAAGAUAACUAUACUAUGCAUGAUGUCCUCUAGAUGUUUUGCACGUGUCUAUAUGUAGUCAUCCUGUCUCCAUCUUAGCAAUGCUAUCAUAUGACAAACAGGGGUUGUGUUCUGGAAUUCAGUUAGCACUGCUUUGAUAAAUAUUUGAGAUAAAAAGAUUACCGAGCCUCACUUUGCUAAAUAUUUGAGAUCUUAUAAACAUAUUUGCAUAACUGUUGUUUUGUUGUUUCCAUGAAAUUCUGCACGUAGCGUCUUGAAGAGACCAAUCUAUAUUUAGCUGAGCUAUGCGAAGUUGCAACCCUCACUAUGUCCACGAGGGUGUUUAUAGUUUUUAUUACCAUGUGGAAACUUUGUGUAUGAAGUUAUGGCACCCCAAAUACUCCCCAUGUGUGCGCGCGCGCAUGCGGUGCCUAGGGUAGGUAGUAGAGUACUUCAUAUACCUGUACUAUUCAUGCUUCAACUUUGGGGUAGUUUUCAUGUGCAUACAACAUAUUGGACCUUGCAGGACCCUCUUGGCAUCCUGUUGCUGGAAAAAAACUACACAGCCGAAUCGUUUUUUUAUUUCUGAAACAAGAUUUCUAUUGCACAAGCCUUCUGAAACAGGAUAGUGUUUUCCAUUUCUUAAAGCUCAAAUCUUGUUGCGCAAAAUUGUAGAUCAAAAUUAGUGUCUGCAUGUCCUGGAUACCUAGCUAGCUAUGUUCCAGUUUGACAAUCAACUUUGUAGAUGCUCAGUUUGACAAAGUUUUUAUAAGAUGUUUAAUUUUUGGAUGGAACAAAAAAGGAAGCAUAGUUGAAAUGCAAUGCAAUCAGACUUGUAAAGGUCUUGCAUUGCACAAAAUGCUAAGGAUGAGGCCAGAAGAAGGUUCAAUGAAGUGAAAAAAUUACUCCUUACUUGGUCUGCAUGCAGUGAUCGACUACUGGUUUGCUUGUCAGUUGUUCUGUUUCCCAUAGAAGCUGCAUCUUUCUAGAAGCUGCUACAUCAGAUUAACCUGGGAAUGAAUCUCAUAACUUCUAUUCUGAUGAGCACUACCUGCCAACCUUAUUUAAUAUGGUUGAUCCAACCGGAGUUGCGAAUUGGUCAGUGACACGUGUUGAUUGCUCUGAAGGAAAAUGACAUCCUAAAGUUUAUAGGGCUGUUGACACAAGCUUUGAACUGCUUAAAAGUAUAGCGGUGAGCUGAGCAUGCGUUGGAUGUAAAUUUUUAUUGCAUGUAUGAGCAUGCGUUGGAUGUAAA